UACGUAGGGGGCAAGCGUUGUCCGGAAUCAUUGGGCGUAAAGAGCGUGUAGGCGGCUCGGUAAGUCCGCUCUGAAAAGCCCGGGGGCUCAACCCCGGGAGGCGGGCGGAUACUGUCGGGCUAGAGUCCGGAAGAGGCGAGUGGAAUUCCUGGUGUAGCGGUGAAAUGCGCAGAUAUCAGGAGGAACACCAAUGGCGAAGGCAGCUCGCUGGGACGGUACUGACGCUGAGACGCGAAAGCGUGGGGAGCAAACAGG
rnacentral:rRNA from 1 species